rnacentral:rRNA from 1 species
AUACGGAGGUAGCAAGCGUUGUUCGGAUUUACUGGGUGUAAAGGUCAUGUAGGCGUCUCGUUAAGUCGGGUGUGAAAUCCCUUGGCUCAACCAAGGAACUGCAUUCGAUACUGGCGAGAUUGAGUACUUGAGAGGUAAGCGGAAUUCCGGAAGUAAGGGUGAAAUCUGUAGAUAUCCGGAAGAACACCAUUAGCGAAGGCGGCUUACUGGCAAGAUACUGACGCUGAAAUGAGAAAGCUAGGGGAGCAAACAGGAUUAGAUACCCUGGUAGUCCUAGCUGUAAACGAUGGGCACUAGGUGCAGGCUCGCAAGGGUCUGUGUCGGAGCUAACGCGUUAAGUGCCCCACCUGGGGACUACGGUCGCAAGGCUAAA